AUACUAAGCCAGUAGAAAGCAUCAAUAGGCAGAGCAUGGAAAAAUGCCGUCACAUGGGGUGAAUAGAAACAGAUUUCAACAUCAAAGAAAAAAACAGUUUCAGGCACAGCAGAUGGAAUGCCUGCUGCUCACUGAACUGACGUCCUUACUACAAACUCAAAAAUCACCGCCACGGGUAGCUGCUCCAAAGUUUUGCCCACACCACAGCCAGAACAAAGAGUGGUCGGACUUUGCCACCUACAAAAUAACAGACUGCAGUACCCAAGUGAUAGGUCUGCAAGACAGUGGCGAGUGCCACUUCAUGCAUACGAAGACAUGGAAGAGUUACUAAUUACAAAAAUCUUUCCAUUCUUAGAUUAGAUUAGAUUAGAGUCACAGAUCUUGUCUGCAACUGGGAGCAGAUACUGUAAAUAAAAAGUUGAUGGAUAAUGGCAACAGAAUAACUGAUUUUUAUAGAAAAAAAAGUGAUCAGGUAUUUUGAUACUACAGAAUUAUGUUGCUCAUGGCAUUACAGUGAAAAAUAAAAAGACAAAUUACAAAAUAAAUACAUUAUUAAGAAUGUACUAAGUGGCAUACCAGGAAACUGACUGGUUCCAAGUGCCAAUAAGGAAGUUUUUACAAAUUGAUUCCAACAAAGAAGAAAACAGCAACCAGACACUGUUAAUAAUACUAUAGCGCUGUUACACAGUUUCGGAUCAACAGCUUCAUCUUCAGAUAGAUAUUCAUGCUUAUAUUACAUGUGGUGGUGUUCACAUUAGUUGAUGGCUAUUUUGUUCUCAGAAACUAAUUUGUGCUGAUGGCCUUACUCUAGCCACCCAGAGCACAGAUUUUGAAUCAGUUGAGAACACCCUCACAGAUGCCCUUAAAGAACUUUACAGAUACAACAACACAAACCAACUUAAACCAAAUCUCACAAGUGUGUGAGUUUUUAUUUGAGAAACAGGGAAGCUAGUUGAAAUUAAAGAUAGCAUGGUCAGGUGUUGAACUGGAACACCAUGAGACCCCAAAAUACCUAGGAGUGACACCUGAUAGAUCUCUUAGUUUCAAGAAGCACUACAUGAACUGCAACUCAUAAGCUUCCACCAGGAACAAUCUUCUAGGGAAACUGACCAGAUCACAGUGGGGUAGUCAACCUGAAACUCUACAAACCUCUGUAUGUCCUACUUGGUAUAAUUCAAUACAUGCCACACAGGUGGACAUAGCUCUCAAUGACACCUGCAGUAUCACAACAGAUUGAUUUAAAUCUCACACAGACAAUGGCUUUAUCACCUCACAGGAACAGCAGCAGCUCCUUUUCAAAGAGAAACAGUCGUGAAUGAGGAAAUAAAGGGAGUGGAGCUCGAGAGAACGCAUCCUCUGUAUGGGCACGAACCUCACCCACAAUGACUGAAAUCAAGGAGGGGUUUCUUAAGAACAUCAACGGCACUUUGAACCACUGCUGAAAAAGCUAGGUUGCAACUAUGGAGGGCUACGACCUACCUUCCCUCUGGCUGGAAUAGAGUUUCAAAAAUCCUACCUACUGGCCAUGAUGAGAAAUGGAUGAUCUGGAAGUCCCAGAACAGACUGAGAUCUGGAGUUUGGCAAGAUGGGGCUACACUGAUCAAGAUGUUGUUUAUCAGAGACUUCCAUGCCGACCGUGUCCAGCCUCCCACACAGAAAAUGAACUUCAUCAAGUAGCAGAAAAUGCACUGUAAGUGGCAAAGUUUUGGCAAAAGUAAUAUAGUCACAACUGUGUACAUAAUAUAUAGGUUUCUGGUACAAGAAUAAAAUAAUGUAAACAACAACAAAAUAUGUAAUAUAAACAUGAACAUCUGUCUAAAGAUGACCCAUCAGUUUGAAACCAGUAGUAGGGCUAUUUGUGUAAAUAAACAGCAUUAUUAAUGGUGAAUGGUCGCUGUUUUCUUCUUUUCAUGAAUCAACUUGUAAUUUAUGCACAGCUAUGGACUAAAAAAUGCCAGGUUUUGGCAAAAUACCAGAAAGUAAGUUUUUGCUCCAAAUGCAAUUAAUACUGAUGCACUACAUUUUAUUUAUGAUAAUACAAGUACAGAAAUACAGUGUUACGCUUUUAACUGGUAGAACUGUAAUCAACAAAAACCACUUCCCAUAUCUUUUAAAUUUUUGAACUCCAGAGGGAAGCACAGCUUGGCACAAAGUCUAUGCGCCAUCUACUAACGUGUGUCUGAAAGACUUUGUUCAUGGUUUGGCACAUGAAUCAAGUCAAGAGUCAUGCAACAGAGUACUGAGAACACACUUUGUGAAAAAAAUAGCACUCAAAAUAUUUUCCAUUUCCACUCUUCUAAUGUAUCUUAAAAUCAUGAAUUAACACUUCCUAAUACUACUGCAACACUGCAGACAUUCACAUCUCACUCACAACCUACUGCAAACAAGGAAGCAACACACAUUAAAUAAGAAGUAAGUGAGGCAGCACUAUCCACUACUGUCAUGCAGUUGCAUCUGUGUAAAAAUUACAAGCAAUCAUUAAAACAAUCUGCACCUAUUAUAUACGACUUUCAAUUACCCUCAUCACUUGAAAUAAAACUGUAAUGAUUGCAGUUAGUGAAUAUAAACUGGAUCUUAUCAUUGCAAGUGACUGACCUGUUGGAAGA